rnacentral:tRNA from 1 species
AGCUGAGUUGGUAGAGUGCUUGCCUUACAAGCACAAGGCCCUGGGUUCAAUUCCCAG